CAAAGUGGCCAUACCCACCUUCUGUUCAAACUUGGUAAUCCAUCUGCAGCUACGUAGCUUUAGGCCAGGCCAGAACUUGGAUGGGAGACCAACUAAGAAAGCUGGGUUGCUGCUGG
rnacentral:rRNA from 1 species